rnacentral:rRNA from 1 species
UACGUAGGGGGCAAGCGUUGUCCGGAAUCAUUGGGCGUAAAGAGCGUGUAGGCGGCCCUGUAAGUCCGCUGUGAAAGUCCAGGGCUCAACCCUGGGAUGCCGGUGGAUACUGUCGGGCUCGAGUCCGUAAGAGGAGUGUGGAAUUCCUGGUGUAGCGGUGAAAUGCGCAGAUAUCAGGAGGAACACCAAUGGCGAAGGCAGCACUCUGGGACGUGACUGACGCUGAGACGCGAAAGCGUGGGGAGCAAACAGG